rnacentral:rRNA from 1 species
AUUGAACGCUGGCGGCAGGCUUAACACAUGCAAGUCGAGCGAGCGGCGGACGGGUGAGUAAUGUCUGGGAAACUGCCUGCUGGAGGGGGAUAACUACUGGAAACGGUAGCUAAUACCGCAUACCAUCAGAUAUGCCCGGAUGGGAUGAGAGAGUAGGUGGGGUAAUGGCUCACCUAGGCGACGAUCCCUAGAUGGUCUGAGAGGAUGACCAGCAACACUGGAACUGCUACACGGUCCAGCCUCCUACGGUAGGCAGCAGUGUGGAAUAGUGCACUAUGGGCGCAAGCCUGAUGCAGCCAUGCCGCGUGUAUGAAGGAGGCCUUAGGGUUGUAAAGUACUUACAGCGGGGAGGCGUUACCCGCAGAAGAAGCACCGGCUAACUCCGUGCCAGCAGCCGCGGUAAUAC